rnacentral:rRNA from 1 species
UACGUAGGGUGCAAGCGUUUGUCCGGAAUUAUUGGGCGUAAAGAGCUCGUAGGCGGUUUGUCGCGUCUGCUGUGAAAACUCGGGGCUUAACCCCGGGCCUGCAGUGGGUACGGGCAGACUAGAGUGCGGUAGGGGAGACUGGAAUUCCUGGUGUAGCGGUGAAAUGCGCAGAUAUCAGGAGGAACACCGGUGGCGAAGGCGGGUCUCUGGGCAAUAACUGACGCUGAGGAGCGAAAGCGUGGGGAGCGAACAGG